rnacentral:lncRNA from 1 species
AGAACCUUUCUAUCCCUCCUCAAAGACACUGUGGUGUCUGGAGCAUCACUGCAUCGUCACGUUAUGCCACACAGGAACCAAGCUGCUUCCUUUGGGUGUCUACCCUGUCGGGAGGUCUGGGGAGACCAGGAGCUCACGUGUGGAGACACCCCACCAGCAGCACUCCACCCCUCGGAGCCUUGGCUCCCACGGGCUCCAGGGCUAAUGUGGGGACACAUGAUGACACAUAAUCAUGCCGGAGAGGACACUGGCUGUGCAGUACCUGAAGCCCGGUGCUAGGGCCUGGACACCCAGCUGGACCCCAACUCUUCAGCGCAACUCACUGUUGUUUGCAGUACAAUGACUCUUUUUUUUCAGAGUGGCCCCACUGCCCACACUCACCAAUGG